rnacentral:rRNA from 1 species
UACAGAGGGUGCAAGCGUUAAUCGGAAUUACUGGGCGUAAAGCGUGCGUAGACGGUUGCGUAAGUCAGAUGUGAAAGCCCCGGGCUCAACCUGGGAAUUGCAUUUGAGACUGCGUAGCUAGGGUGCGGAAGAGGGAAGCGGAAUUUCCGGUGUAGCGGUGAAAUGCGUAGAUAUCGGAAGGAACACCAGUGGCGAAAGCGCUCUGCUAGGCCGCAACUGACACUCAUGGACGAAAGCUAGGGGAGCGAAUGGG